CUUUUCUCCACUGGACAAAAGAGCCCUUCAGUAACUUGUCUCUUCUCCCCAUGAAGGUGCUUGAGACAAUGGCAGUAGGUCUAAAAAUAGCUCCCUCUGAAUGACCAAACCAUCAAAACCAAUACCUGGACCAACAACCCAGCCCUUGGAACCACCCUCAGCAUUCAAGAAACAAAAGAUGAGGCAACCCACCAUUGUGCCAAGGCUGCACAUGCUCAGUAAGAACACCUGGAACCCUCUGGAACAGGACUGACAUUGCCUGAACAGGCCCUCCCCGUAGGAGAUCAGAGGCAGUCUGCCCCAUAAAAAGGGGUAGUGAAGACUGACUCCUUGGGAAUGCCAUUUCCAUCUGGACCAGACCAGUUCCACGUCACACCACCUAUUCACCCCAGAGGCCCUACUUGCAACCCCCUCUGGACAACACUGAGCUGAAAGAGACCCCGACUGGCCAUCGAGGACCCACUUUCAGCCUGGUAUAGUUCUAGGCUGGCAUCUAGCGACCAGGUUUGAAUUCUAACUAAAUGGACAGGCCUCAGACCAUAUCAUGGUCAUCAGCAGAAAGGGCCUGUGUAUAUCUGGAAGGCUGUGCAGAGCAACACCCAUUGUAGAGGUCAAGGUGAUCGUGUAUUGUGUCCUAACAUUCAAUGAAGGAAAGCACACCAAUUCAAAUGCUUCCAUUCUAAGUGUGAUCUAUGUCCUUCAACUAACAUGUUACAGCAGUGACAACCAGCAGAGGAAUACCAGAUUUAUUCUAAAAAGCAAGGUGUUAUGGGCCUCUCUACUACCUGUAUUGUUGCUGAUGGAUUCAAGCUUUUAUCCCAAGGUUGUCCCCUGAAAACUACCAUGGCAUCUAUUUGGUUUAUCCGAGACAAGUUCAACUCUAAAAAGGAACAGAUGCUCCAAGACACUGUACUCUGAGCACCACUUCUAAAGUUUGUUGCAUUUCAAAUGUCUGCAUAUCAUUAUAGACCAUGUUUCUAUAAAUAAGACAUGUUUAAUAAGCUCUUACUAAUAGUUUUUAUACUGUUACACAACAAUAUAUAGGUGCUUAAUUCUAGUGUUACCCCUCAAACUGAAAGUCAUACCAGUAUGCUGAACCCAACAGCCCUGCACUUAAGCUGAAGAUUUAUUCUCUGUACAUGACAUUAGCCAUACUCAGCAAAUACUUUUUUGAUCCAUUCUGUUUUGCACACACAAUAACCUUACCUUUAUGGGACAAGUUCUCCUGACCUAGUUUGAAAUUAAAAAGAAAUUCCUCAUUAAGCAUGAGCAGUUUCUCCCCUCAGGGUAUCUGUGCAUGCUUGGGUUACCUUCAAGUAUUUUGCUUUGACUCAUUAUAAUGUUACUCAGCUGGGAUUACCACAACUGUAAAAGGCAGUUUUCAAAGGCAGUGUUCCACAACCAUUGAAUGUUUUCAGAGGGUUUCAUUAUUUCACAAAAGAUGCAGUUAAUUGCUUAAUCCUACUGAUGACAGCAUGAGCUUUACUCUGGUUUUUAAGACACUGAUUCAACAUCCUGAAUUCAAGAUGACAACAGAAUACCUCAAGUACUUGGACAGGUAACUAAUGCAGAACUUCAUUUUACAACCAACCAAGGAUAUUGUCCCUAUUUGUACCCAUUUGGCUGCUCUGGUCUCUAAAGUUAUUGGAGAAUGAAAAACAAACUCAAGGUAGGUAAAACUCUGUAGUUUUCCAUCUCUUAGUAUCCAAGUAAAUAGAGCAUUACAGUGCCAAUCGCUGUCAAAUGUCUGUCAGCUAUGCCUUUUUCUAAGUUAAUGUGGAAGCUAUUCUGUCUCAUGCACCUGGUAGCAGGGGCAAAUAUCACUGAAAUUACAAUAUGGAGACUGAAGUAACUAGCAAUUCUGUCAUUAUUUCCGACUUAAGAAUUCUCAAGUUGGAUCACUCAAAAAAAAAAAAAUCCCAAUGUAACAAUUCCUGUUCUUGUUCUCACUCUUCAACAUAAAUCAGAAAUGGCUAAUCAUCAUCCUUAUUUCUAAAACACUAGUAGGAUAGACAAAGCAAUUUGAGAAUAAGGUCAUCCAUACCAUAUGGGAACAGUCAGAGUAAAGUAAGAAGAAUAAAGAGAUUUAUGAUGACACUGCAAGUAGAGCUGGGACCAAACUUCCUAUUUCAGCAAAAACCAAUCACCAAGACCACACUUUUUGGAAAGGGCACAGGAUGCACAGAAAAAUAAAUGACCAAGUAGAUACAUGAUACCAAAAUGUAGCUACUUCUGUUUUCUGUGCACUUACAGCUUGCAUGCAAGGCUCCAUACAUGAAAAUCCAUCCUACAUGGACAGAAUUCACAGGGUAUCCAUCUCUUUUAGUAUCCAAUUAAUUGCAACCCAGGAAGUGACAAGAGCAUAGCUGAAAGUUAUGACUAACGUGCAAGCUACUGUCUCGCAUGCUUCUGUUAUCAGGAUAAAAGCAUUUUGUUCCUGAAAGGUCUUCUCUCUCCCUCAGUUAAUCUUUCAGUUGUCUUUCUAGCUUUCACCUCAGUGCCCCAGUUCACCCAAUCAUUUAAGCACAUGUUAACAGCUGUCUUGUGCAUCACAGCCUGUUUCUAUUUUGCUUUUAGAGAACCAUGGGAAAAAAAUAGGGCUGGAAGGGACCUCAAGAGCUUAUCUGUCCAUCUUCAUCCCAAGGCAAAAGCAUAUCAUUUCCUGUCAUACCAUCUGUAAGCCUAUUUCUUCCUUUUAUCACUCUCAUCCCACAUAUACAUUUGAUUCUUUCCUCUAUCCCACAGUAAGUUCAGGAAGUAGCUGGAAACUCAUUCUAACCUGUCACCAUUCAUAUAGCCAUCAGUUAUGAGAGUGAGGACAAUAAACUGACAUCCACUUUGUUUGGAAGCCAGAUCAAUUCAAACAGUCUAGGUUAGUGAUGCUCAAACUCUGGCCUACAAGCCAAAAUACAACCCAUGCAGCUAUGUCAUGCAGUCUAUGUGGCUGCCCAGGGGGAACCAGAAAUUUGGCAACAGAGGAGCAGUAGCAGCACUAAUUGCCAUCAAAUUUCUGGCACCAUAGGAAGCUGUACAGGCCAGACAGCAUGGCAACAUGAACCAGAUUGCACAAACAAGCAGGGUUCAGACAGCCAAAUCUGGCAUGGGUGACCUGGCCAGUGCAUGUUGUCACAUUAUGGCCAGAUCCAGUGCACAGGGCCGGGAGAGUGCACCAGAUCAUACCUACAAGUCAACUCCACGCACUGAGCCUAUGCUGGGUCCAGCCACAGCCCGACCCCACUCAUGGGAUCUGGCUAUCAGGGGACCUAAUAGGCAACCCAGAUGGGACUACCUGCAUAGUGGGCCACACCUGCCUGGGGCUUUUUACAGGCAGCCCUCACCCAGCUAUUGACUCCAGCUGGGUCUGCUGAUGGGCUGCUGGGAGAGCAGCUUCUCCGUUUAGCUACAGCUGUAGCAACAGACUCUAGGCCCGCCAACAGUUUCUGCUGACAGUCUUCCCUGGCAAGCCUCUAUGAUCUUGUACCAGUUUCCUAGUUCCUGACCAGCUUGGCUCUGUUCCUGGUUUCCAGCUUUUGGAUUUUCCCUCAGAUCUAGUAAUUCAGUCUCUGAUUGCUGAAUGCCAACUCAGCUUGGGACUCUGACCCACCCUGGGAUUUCCCCUUGAACCCAAUAACCUAAUCUCCAAUUCCUGCCCCCUGCUGUGGCCUGUGGUUUGGCUUGUCCUAAAAUUUUGGAACAUCUUCAACUAUGUUUUAAAGCAACCCAUUAGCCUUACAGAGGAGGUCCCAAGUAAUAUGGUUUUAUUGCCCACAUUUUUCUUUCUGAAUGCAAAAAACAAAAUGAAGCCAAAAAACUGCUGUUCAGCAAAACAACAGAUGCUGCUACCUCAUAAAGCUAUUGGCCAGAGCUGUUUAACUGGCAGCCUGCAGACCACAUGAGGCCUAUAAAAGGGAUUACCUUGAAGCCCCUAGGCUGCCACCCAGCUGCACCAGCAGCAGCUGGGUGCUCCAGCCUCUCCCAGGCUUUUGCUUUUUGACCUGUUCACAGGCAGAGUUGAGCAGCAUGGCAUAACUUGUGCCAGGAAAGCCCAUGGCUUGGGAUAUGAGCACAGCAUGGUGCAGCAGAGUCUAUGCUCAAGAAGCUGGAGGGGGAGGGAAGUGACCACAUGCCUGGUACUGCAGGAUACAUGUUUGAUGCAGUGGGGAGCAUCCCCAGGCUCAGUGUAAUAUAGGGUAAGGAGAACCUGCAUGCUCAGUGCAGCAGGGAGUAAUGUGUUCGGUUCUGUGAGCGGUAGGGAGUUGCACAGUCCUGCUGUAAACUAUAAAUUUUCCCUCAAAUCUGCAAUGCAGAUGCAGGACACCACAAAUUACAAGAUAAUUUAAUAAGAGCUACUACUAAAUGAGAUGAGACUGAUGCCACAUACAAUGGUUGCAGGAAAAUGUUAUCUGCCUGGUAAUUUAGGAUUCACCAAAGAUAUAUUUUUAGUAAGUGCAAUAAACUCCAAUGCAUAUUUAUGUAACUACCUGUGGUAUCUUAUACCACACAUCCUUUUAGACAGCUCCACUUCACAUUUACAAGAGCAGUACAAAGGAGACUGCAUCCAAAUCAGCCUGCUUUCUAUUUCUGUCCUUUUGGACACAUUUGGAUGCAGUAGUCCUUUCUCCACUGAAUCUCAAGCUGGCAAUAAGAGGGACCCCAAAUUGACAGCCUACAUUUGCUACACUCCAGUCGAAAGAGCCAACUUCAAAGAGAAACCAUAUUGCACAUUCUGAAAACCUCUCUGCACUACCCUGUAUUAAACAUCUCCCCACCACCAACUUCUGUGCUUAUUUAUUGUAGCAAAACCCCCAGUUUUUUGUUGUUUGUUUGGUUGUUUUUUUUUAAUGCAUUCCCUCCUCUUCUCCAACCAUUUCUGACUUUCUCUCCCUCUCUAUUCCCUAUAGAUAAGUAUAAGUGAGCUAAGACAUAGGAUAAGCUUCAGCAUUUUAAUUUUGGUAGCAAGUUGUAUUUGUUUUGUUUUUUCUCCUUCUUUAUAUUGUAUAAUUAUUAUGUUUAUAUUGAUUUUUACUGUUCUAUAUUACCGUUUUACUGAUACAAUAUGCUAACUUACAUAUGUAGGCCUAAAUCAUAAGUCAUGUCAAGUUUCCAUUUUGUUUGUCAAGUCUCCAUCUUGUCCCCUUGCCCUGUUGCGUAAGUAUGUUGUAGCCUAUGACUCAUACCUACCCCUCCUAUGUAACUUGGUUCCUGAAUGAAUGGGGAUGAAUGGAGGGUGCUUGAGAGACAAUGGCAGUAGGUUUAAAAAUAGCUCCCUCUGAAUGACCAAACCAUCAAAACCAAUACCUGGACCAAUGACCUAGCCCUUGGAACUACCUUCAGCAUUGAAGAAACAAAAGAUGAGGCAACCCACCAUUGUGCCAAGGCUGCACAUGCUCAGUAGGAACACCUGGAACAGGACUGACAUUGCCUGGACAGGCCCUCCCCAUAGGAGAUCAGUAGUAGUCUGCCCCAUAAAAACGAGUAGUGAAGACUGACUCCUUGGGAUAUCCUCUCCAUCUGGACCACCACCAUGCCACACCACCUAUCCCCCUGGAGGCCCUGCCAGUCAUCCCCUCUGGACAACACCUGCUGGACAAGGACCCCUUUCCAGCCUGGAUAGGUAGCUUUCACCCCCACCCUCUCUUUAACCAAGGAUUUGGACUCUGCUUCUCUUCCCUACCUGGACUCCAACCCUUCCACUGAGUCUCUUUCUCCUGCUGCCAUUGUGCAUGUGUGCACCAGUAAGUUCAUGGGGCUGUGUAGUGUGUUGUCUGUUUAAUAAACCUGUUAUUUUGAAACCCCGA